UACGAAGGGGCUAGCGUUGCUCGGAAUCACUGGGCGUAAAGGGUGCGUAGGCGGGUCUUUAAGUCAGGGGUGAAAUCCUGGAGCUCAACUCCAGAACUGCCUUUGAUACUGAAGAUCUUGAGUUCGGGAGAGGUGAGUGGAACUGCGAAGUGUAGAGGUGAAAUUCGUAGAUAUUCGCAAGAACACCAGUGGCGAAGGCGGCUCACUGGCCCGAUACUGACGCUGAGGACGAAAGCGUGGGGAGCAAACAGGG
rnacentral:rRNA from 1 species